CACGCAACGAACGACACUUGCUACUACAAGAUGAGAGCAAGAGGAGCAAAAGUCUACCAGGUUAUUGCACUAGCUUUCUAAAGAUUAAAAUGUUUUGAAGUUAGUGAGGCGGUUGUACCGAACACCUUAUCUUAUCAAGAGGCAUGGGAAAUGUCAUAUUUUGGGGCAAAUGUUUUAUACCCUCGAACUAUCAUUCCAGUGAUGCAAUAUGACAUUCCGAUCCUUAUAAGAAACAUCUUCAACCUCUCUGCACCUGGAACAAAAAAUUGCAGGGCACCCAUCAUUGAAGCUGAAGUAAAACAGGACUCGGUAGCUUAUGUAAAAGGCUUUGGAACCAUAGACAACUUGGCCCUUGUAAAUGUCGAGGGAACUGGAAUGGCUGGUGUUUUGGGUACAGCAAGUGCCAUUUUUGCGGCUGUUAAAGAUGUUGGAGGUAAUGUCAUCAUGAUUUCUCAGUGAACAUUUAGAUGCAAGAAACCGGCAAGACAGAAGAGGAGAUUGAUAGGGCAACGUUGUGGAAAAAAGCAAGAGUAUUGAAAACAGGAGGUUUCCAGAAAGAUGUCCGAGUGAUUGUUGAUAGAAUUGUUGGGAAAGGAGUAGAAGAAUACUUGGCUGCGG